AAAAAAAACUCGUGCAGUAGUACAUUAAAAGCUGAACUCCAUUCAAACAAGCCCAUAAAACCCCAUUACAUUGCAGAUUACACACAUCUACUUAUUUAUUCGGCAAACUGUAUAACACACCAAAGAUCGAGUUUGCGUAGCAUUUCACUCAACCGGAGAUCUCAAUGGCCUUGACAUCUGGUUGCUUGACCUCCUCUUUGGGCACAGUCACUGUCAAGACUCCAUUCUCCAUGCUUGCCUUAACCUGAUCAACUUUCGCAUUCUCUGGCAGCCUGAACCUCCU
rnacentral:misc_RNA from 1 species